rnacentral:rRNA from 1 species
UAGGGAAUCUUGGACAAUGGGCGAAAGCCUGAUCCAGCCAUGCCGCGUGAGUGAUGAAGGCCUUAGGGUUGUAAAGCUCUUUCGCCAGGGAAGAUAAUGACGGUACCUGGAUAAGAAGCCCCGGCAAACUUCGUGCCAGCAGCCGCGGUAAUACGAAGGGGGCUAGCGUUGUUCGGAAUUACUGGGCGUAAAGCGAACGUAGGCGGUUUUCCAAGUUGGAGGUGAAAUCCCUGGGCUCAACCCGGGAACUGCCUCCAAAACUGGAUGACUCGAGUCCGGGAGAGGUGAGUGGAAUUUCCAGUGUAGAGGUGAAAUUCGUAGAUAUUGGAAAGAACACCAGUGGCGAAGGCGGCUCACUGGCUCGGUACUGACGCUGAGGUGCGACAGCGUGGGGAGCAAACA